rnacentral:rRNA from 1 species
UACAGAGGUCUCAAGCGUUGUUCGGAUUCAUUGGGCGUAAAGGGUGCGUAGGCGGCGCGGUAAGUCGGGUGUGAAAUCUCGGAGCUUAACUCCGAAACUGCAUUCGAUACUGCCGUGCUUGAGGACUGGAGAGGAGACUGGAAUUUACGGGUGUAAGCGGUGAAAUGCGUAGAUAUCGUAAGGAAGACCAGUGGCGAAGGCGGGUCUCUGGACAGUUCCUGACGCUGAGGCACGAAGGUCAGGGGAGCAAACGGG